CCUACGGGUGGCAGCAGUGGGGGAUAUUGCACAAUGGGGGCAACCCUGAUGCAGCGACGCCGCGUGGACGAAGAAGUAUUUCGGAAUGUUAAGCUCUAUCAGCAGGGAAGAAGAAAUGACGGUACCUGAGUAAGUAGCACCGGCUAAAUACGUGCCAGCAGCCGCGGUAAUACGUAGGGUGCAGGCGUUAUCCGGAUUUACUGGGUGUAAAGGGAGCGCAGGCGGUACGGGAAGCCUGAGGUGAAAGCCCGGGGCCCAACCGCGGGACUGCAUUUGGUACUGGCGGGCUAGAGUGCCGGAGAGGUAGGCGGAAUGCAUGGUGUAGCGGUGAAAUGCGUAGAGAUCAGGAGGAACUCCGGUGGCGAAGGCGGCCUACUGGAGGGUGACUGACGCUGAGGCGCGAAAGCGUGGGGAGCAAACAGGAUUAGAUACCCGGGUAGUC
rnacentral:rRNA from 1 species